rnacentral:rRNA from 1 species
GUGGGGAAUUUUGCGCAAUGGGGGCAACCCUGACGCAGCGACGCCGCGUGGAGGACGAAGUCUUUCGGGAUGUAAACUCCUGUCAUUUGGGACGAUAAUGACGGUACCCACAGAGGAAGCACCGGCUAACUCCGUGCCAGCAGCCGCGGUAAGACGGAGGGUGCAAGCGUUGUUCGGACUUACUGGGCGUAAAGCGUAUGUAGGCGGCAAGUUAAGUUCAAUGUUAAAGCCCACGGCUCAACCGAGGAGAUGCAUUGAAUACUGGAUAACUAGAGGGUGUUAGAGGAAGACGGAAUUCCCAGUGUAGCGGUGAAAUGCGUAGAGAUUGGGAGGAACAUCGGUAGCGAAAGCGGUCUUCUGGGACAUACCUGACGCUGAGGUACGAAAGCGUGGGGAGCAAACGGGAUUAGAUACCCUAGUAGUCC